GAUGAACGCUGGCGGCGUGCCUAAUACAUGCAAGUCGAGCGAACAGAUGAGGAGCUUGCUCCUCUGACGUUAGCGGCGGACGGGUGAGUAACACGUGGAUAACCUACCUAUAAGACUGGGAUAACUUCGGGAAACCGGAGCUAAUACCGGAUAAUAUAUUGAACCGCAUGGUUCAAUAGUGAAAGACGGUUUUGCUGUCACUUAUAGAUGGAUCCGCGCCGCAUUAGCUAGUUGGUAAGGUAACGGCUUACCAAGGCAACGAUGCGUAGCCGACCUGAGAGGGUGAUCGGCCACACUGGAACUGAGACACGGUCCAGACUCCUACGGGAGGCAGCAGUAGGGAAUCUUCCGCAAUGGGCGAAAGCCUGGCGGAGCAACGCCGCGUGAGAGAUGAAGGUCUUCGGAUCGUAAAACUCUGUUAUUAGGGAAGAACAAAUGUGUAAGUAACUAUGCACGUCUUGACGGUACCUAAUCAGAAAGCCACGGCUAACUACGUG
rnacentral:rRNA from 1 species